GACAGAGGGGGCAAGCGUUGCUCGGAAUCACUGGGCGUAAAGGGCGCGUAGGCGGGAUGGCAAGUCGGUCGUGAAAUCCUUCGGCUCAACCGAAGAACGUCGGCCGAUACUGCCGUUCUUGAGGGAUGCAGAGGAGAUUGGAAUUCCCGGUGUAGCGGUGAAAUGUGUAGAGAUCGGGAGGAACACCGGUGGCGAAGGCGGGUCUCUGGGCAUCUCCUGACGCUGAGGAGCGAAAGCAUGGGGAGCGAACAGG
rnacentral:rRNA from 1 species